AAGCGGUGCAGGACCCACGAUGAGGCCGUACUUUCUGCACCACCGCACGUGACUAUAGACGACUGGCGGAUACUCUGCAAGAGAUUUUUGUCUGAGGCUUUUCAGAAGAUGAGCAAAAUUAAUUCUGCGAACAGGAAAAAGUUACAAGUGAACCACAUAGCUGGUUCAAAGUCAUUUGUAUGACAUCAUUAUGAUAUGCGAGAUUCCGUCACCGGCCAGGAGCUUAGAUUAGUAGACCUCUACAGAGGGACUCACUGUCGGCAGGCGAUAGGAUCUUGGGUUCAUCCUAAAGCCAGCGAGAAUCGG